UGGGGAAUAUUGCACAAUGGGCGCAAGCCUGAUGCAGCCAUGCCGCGUGUGUGAAGAAGGCCUUCGGGUUGUAAAGCACUUUCAGCGAGGAGGAAGGGUAGUGUGUUAAUAGCACAUUGCAUUGACGUUACUCGCAGAAGAAGCACCGGCUAACUCCGUGCCAGCAGCCGCGGUAAUACGGAGGGUGCAAGCGUUAAUCGGAAUUACUGGGCGUAAAGCGCACGCAGGCGGUUUGUUAAGUCAGAUGUGAAAUCCCUGCGCUUAACGUGGGAACUGCAUUUGAAACUGGCAAGCUAGAGUCUUGUAGAGGGGGGUAGAAUUCCAGGUGUAGCGGUGAAAUGCGUAGAGAUCUGGAGGAAUACCGGUGGCGAAGGCGGCCCCCUGGACAAAGACUGACGCUCAGGUGCGAAAGCGUGGGGAGCAAACA
rnacentral:rRNA from 1 species